CAGUCGCCGCGGGAAUACAGAGGGUGCGAGCGUUAAUCGGAUUUACUGGGCGUAAAGCGUGCGUAGGCGGCUUCUUAAGUCGGAUGUGAAAUCCCUGAGCUUAACUUAGGAAUUGCAUUCGAUACUGGGAAGCUAGAGUAUGGGAGAGGAUGGUAGAAUUCCAGGUGUAGCGGUGAAACGCGUAGAGAUCUGGAGGAAUACCGAUGGCGAAGGCAGCCAUCUGGCCUAAUACUGACGCUGAGGUACGAAAGCAUGGGGAGCAAACAGGAUUAGAUACCCCUGUAGUCCCUGUCUCUUAUAC
rnacentral:rRNA from 1 species